UGGAGAGGAAGUCUCUGGAGGCCUCUGGCUGAGCUCCCAUCUUCAGGAGCUAGUCAGUGCGCUGAGUCAGGGACCCUCCCAACCUCUCACUACCCCCAACCCCCCGGCACCUGGACUCCCUCCCUCUCCCAGAAUGACUGAAUUCAGCCAGCCUGAGAAAUGCAAGUGGGAGAGACCCCCAAAGGAGUCUGCCAGGACACACCCAGACAGCAUGUUAAAGCCAUUCAUCACGGAGCACACCCAAGCCCUUGUCUUGUUUUCUGAAUAACCGGGUACUGCCUGAUCUGGAAGUUGGGUGGUGCACAGGUGUCCAGACCAAAUGUCCAUCGCCUUGCAGUUUGGCCUUAAAAUCCUCCUUACGUCACCCGGAUGGACAUGCAGGCUGCCUCAAGCUGUAAGAAAAAAAAACGAGGGUUAACAUAAAGAUGUCAAAGAGACUCUGGACUCAAAAGCAAAUAAAAACAGAUGAAUCUGGAAAUUGCUCUUGGGAUGAGGCCAGUAACAUCCGGCUGGAGCCUAAUGUUUUGGGUAUGGCAGCUUCUCAAUCACUUAGCAAACAGGUUCUCAGAGGCAGGCACU